rnacentral:rRNA from 1 species
GACGAACGCUGGCGGCGUGCUUAACACAUGCAAGUCGAGCGGUAAGGCCCUUUCGGGGGUACACGAGCGGCGAACGGGUGAGUAACACGUGGGUGACCUGCCCUCAGCUCUGGGAUAAGCCCGGGAAACUGGGUCUAAUACUGGAUAUGACCCCAUGACGCAUGUUGUGGGGUGGAAAGCCUUGUGCGGCUGAGGAUGGGCCCGCGGCCUAUCAGCUUGUUGGUGGGGGAUGGCCUACCAAGGCGACGACGGGUAGCCGGCCUGAGAGGGCGACCGGCCACACUGGGACUGAGACACGGCCCAGACUCCUACGGGAGGCAGCAGUGGGGAAUCUUGCGCAAUGGGCGAAAGCCUGACGCAGCGACGCCGCGUGAGGGAUGACGGCCUGGU